UCGAUAAUAAAACACACGUACGUACAGUUUGGUGUUUCAGAAUGACCCCAGCUUGGUAUUAACGAGUAAAAAUUACAAGAUCUUCGGAUCGUCUGUACGCGUGUCGAAGAAAAGCUGAUAAGACGUCCGAGCGCGUCAAAGGCUUCGAUAAGCAAGGGAAAAAGGGUGGAAAAACUAAAGAUAGGGAUGGAAAAAGAGGAAGAUCGAAGGGGUACGGAGCAAAUAAUAUUAUUUCCCAGCCACGUAGAGAAGCGGAUAAUAGCGUGGCGAGGCAAAACAGCUCCUCGUGAUUGCCGAUCGGCUUACGAGGACGAGACUUAAAAGCUCGAACGGGAAUCAAUUGCAUAAGCCUGUAAGGCGUUAGAGGAGUCAGCCGAGCGUGCGCACGGCACGUGAUGUUGUCGAGAGAGUGUUACCACAUGCCUACGAUCGCCUAUCGGACGUUUCAACUUUGUUUCCCCACUACGUUCUUCUACUUUCAUGUUAACGUUAAUCAUUCUUGCAACAGAUUAUUAGUUGCAUCAUUUCGAAUAUUACGAGGUUAAAUAUGAAACGUCGCUUUUCUCAAAUACUACUUUAUCUUCCUCUUUUGUUACGCAUUAUUUUUUCCAACGAUUCGUUAAUUUGAUUACACUCUCGAACAGUUUGAUGAUUUCUUAAUGCGAUCUAGCGUUACGUUCAUUCUUCGUUUCAUUUUUCUUUUUGCCCUAUAUAAUUUAAUAAAAUAAACGCAACCUUUCGUUGGUCCAAAUACGAUCGAUAUAUCGGCCAUCGUUGAAAAAUCGAACAGGAAUGUUAUCACAGUGACAAUUUGCCGCGGGUUACUUUUGAUAUUUUAUUGAUCUACGCGUUGAAACGAAUCCAUUGAUAUACGAUAUAUCGUUCUCUUUCUACGAAACGUGGCUUUGUUAACGAUAUAUCAAAUUGAACGUCUAAUAAUAUGGAAGAUGUAUAAUAUUUAUACACAGCAAAUAUGGUUUAUUUAUACGUUCCACUAUUUUUUUUUAUCCCUGCUUCUGUAACUAAAAAUAGCAUCGCCACUCAUUUAAGAUACAUUUUAUUCGUCGCAUCUGUACGAUAAAUGUUAAUUAAAUAGAGGAACUUUAUUCUGGUGGAGUGGAACGGCCACGUUCUACGGAGAUCCGUGCGUUCGCACCGGUUGCAAAAACCUAGGCGUAAAAAGGCAAUCGAUAUCGAUCGUACGUAACCUCUCUCCUGGAGCUGGUCGACGAUUGAAACGCGAAUAGGCUGGUCGGCUCGAUUCUCAACGUUACCCGUUUGCCUCUCGUAGCAAGAGCAGACACGAUCGCUUUUUGCCGUUAUAACGUCGACGCGAACGACACUUCGCGGUCCCGUGACCGACGUCCGAGCCAAUUAUACGGGAAACGUCGUAGGAAAAAGCGAACGGCGUGUCUCGACUCUGUUCCCCGUCGCCUGGUAACACUCGACCAACGACAGAUCGAUGGAUCGAGCGGCUUUUUCUUUUUGCUUCGUUCCUCUGGACAAGAAUCGCUUUGGCUUCGGAGAAAAUUAAUGUGGUAUUGUGGUAUCGACAGUUUGUUGCUGUUAGAGGAAGACAUAGGGCUGGGAAGAGCAUUUUGUAAAUUGUUAGGGAGUUCUCUGUUUGCGAGGAAUCAAUUAGGUGUACGUAGACGUAGCACCGAUUGCACCGGGUAUUGAAAAUCAUCGAUACGUACAGGCUCACGAAGGUAUUCCAGCGCUCGUAGCUUUGUUUUAUGCAUUAGGAGGACAAAGUUUCCCUAUAGACCGUGAUGAAGAAUUCAUGACGGCUAUAAACGAAGAAACGAUCGCGACAAGUUCCCCGCCAGAAGGGGUCGCAUCUCGAGCAAUUAUCGAGCGAUUUCUAUCACGUGAAUUUGCAACGAAACGCGUCGAGGGUGAAUUAUGAGUUGAGAGAAAAGCGAUUUAGAGGAUCAACCGAUCAAACUUAAGUAAAGGCAUGCCUUCCAGCAUCCGUACCGAACGCGAAACUUAUCUAAAGAUACGAUCCAAACCGAAAAGUCAAUUUUCUUGAGCCAAAGCGAGUCGGCCCCCAUCCCUUCGAGAUAAUAUCGUCGUUUACGAAGCUCCCGUGCACUUCUCCCGGAUCCAGGAAGCACAUGAUCUGGCAAACUUCCGCAUCAACGCCGCCGGAAGAGUGGAACUGAACGAUGUAACGGAUAUGACCGAGGAAAUCGAAGAUCUUGCGGUAUUGUUAAGGAAAAUUAACCAGUUGACUGAGGAAAGAGUCGUGAACACGUUCCGUGUCGCGCGUGAUAAUCGGGAUAAGGAUGAAAGAUGAAUUUUAUUACUGUAUCGAAGAGUAAAGUGUGUAAAACUUUCAGAGUUAAGUUAAUACAGGAUGCAUUUAAAUUGAUAAGAAAUAGAACAUGAAUUCUCGUGCGUUUAUGGGAAAUUUGAAAGUGCGAAAUUGCACAGAAUGCGUACGAUACCAGAAAACGUAUAAAAUAUCCAAAGUAUAUGCGGUGCUUUCUAUAACACUUGAUUAAACAACUUUCUACCGAUAUUCUACCUUUUUUUAUUCUACUACUACAAAUAUGAAUUUGCAUGAAAAUCAGUUGCACGAAAGUCGGCGGAAAAGUAGUUUAAUAAAUAAUAAAAAAAUAUCGACAGAAGAUGGACAAAGUUGUAAAAUUUUGUUUUAAGAAAUUCAACGUGCUCCUCCAUGGAAUAUCUACAGUCCAAUGGACGAUAACGUUGCUCCAAUUACUAUAAUCGAUAUCAUGGAAAUUUGAAUUGCCUAAAUUUUCAGAUAAAUUCGAUUAUAUUAGACAAUUUUUAAUUGCCAGAAAAUAUGAUAAAUUUCCAGAAUUUUGUCUUAAAAAAACACUCGUGUGCCACCCUCAUCGCACACCCUUGUGCACCUAUCCUUUCCAGCAAUUUUUCUCCAUCUAAACCCCGUUAAAUAUUCCUCGAAGAAGAACGGGAAAUCGAAAAGAGACUGUACGACAAUCCGAAACAACGUCCUUAUUUCCUAUCUUUCUCGUCCGCAUCUACUUGCGAAUUUUUCUCGGUCUUGCCCCCUAUGGAAUAUUCCUUAGGGGAGAGGAAAACGAGAAACUAAAAAAGAGGGGGGAAAAAAGAAAGGAAGGAAGAGAAAAAAGUGGACUGGGUCAUCCAUCACGGCUCUCAUCAGCCGCUGUUAACUGAUCCACUUCAAAAGGUACACCAAUACCGACGCCCGAUUGUGCAACUAUGCGCGCCGCUGAAGAGAAGCAAACGAGCGGUCAUGACAAGAUUGAUGUGCAUUUUCGGUGCACCGACGAAUAAUUGAUUUUCGAGUCGACCAACGAUCUCGAUCAUCCUGCCAGUCGGGAGAUGGACGUGCCUCGCGAUCUGCAUCGUAUAUUAUCACCGGGGUCACCGAGGGGGUUGGGCGACAAGGGGGUGGAAAAAACGACUUCAUAUUUGCUCACUACCGUUUCCUUUUUUUUUUCAAUUUCAUCGUAUUUUAUUAUAUGUAUCGUCUAUUUUUUUCUUUUUUUAUUUCAUGACAUUUUACGUAGGUAUUAACGAUUCCAGUAUCGUUGAUCGUAAAUUGAUAUUUUGGAAAGCGUUCGAGGUGAUCGUAACGUUGCGCGAAGUUUAAACUUCAAAUUUUCACCGAUGCAGUUCAAAAUAGGAUAUAAAACGAAAAACCAUAAAUUCUUCGAUAAUGAACUUUUGCUGACCCGACAUCUCUAACGACAAAUUAUUUUGUGAAGUUGUAGUAUAAUCGACACACCAAACGCAAGAUGAAUCCCUAAGUUUGUCAAUAAUUUCUUAUUCGUUCAAUUUAUCCGAGCUCUCUUGCGAAUAAUUUUCCUUUGUUAUAUAUCCCGCUAGUCACGAUCUGCUUCUCACUUCGUUAACAAGAUUCAAAUUAUUAUUUUCGAAACGUAACGCAACGCGGGACUCGCAGAAAGAUCGAGAAGAUCGUAACGUAACGGUUCACGUGGCUCGCAACAUCGUAACAUGAGAGAUGGAGGAACGUUAGAAAAGCGAAAACGGUGGAAAGUCGUAGAAAUCAACAAUUUCCUGGGGACGUAUCCGUGAAACGCAGUUUCCCCUUGGUUACAACGACAGGAAGUCGAGAAUACCUGAUAAACCGUCCCCGAUAACCGCGCUGCAACUCUCGCGCGUUACGCGGACCUCCGCGCUCGCAUUCAUAUUUAAAUUCAAUUUCGUCUAGACGCGCCGGCUCCGAAUAAAGGCCGGCCAAGUGUCGCUGCCCGGGGAGAAAUUUGACGAAUGAACAACGCUGCGUCGAGGAAUUUCCCCCUUUUUAUGAAUUAGCCAGCUGGAGGAGUAGUACCGUCAUGGAAAUCGCUGAAAUCCUCGAUCGUUCGAGCGUGACAGUCUCAAGAAGCAAGUCGAGUUAUGCAAAUGAUGAAAAAAGAACGAACCGGCAGCGUUGCCUCUUACAGAACAGAAUUUUCUGAGUUUAUUCGAGAUUUUUGGAUCGCCGGAUAUAUUAAGAUACGUAAGAAUUUUUUAAGAAUAAAACGGUGCUCUAUAUAUAUAUAAAUCGGAAUUUUUGAAGGACUUCUAGCUUGAAAAUGAUAAGCUUCGUAACUGUUGGAGAUUCGAGCUGAUAGGAAAGAAGAAGUUGGAGAAGAAAUCUUUCUCGUGCCUUAAUACAGUGGAUGAUGGCAAAAUUCCGAGGCGAGCGGUAUAUUUCAGACUAUAAGAAUUCCAUAGGGCCGUAAUACCGUGAAUUAUAAAGCUCCUAUAACUCAUAGAGGGCUGAGAGAGGGAAACGUGGCCGUGCCAAUUGGAUUGGGUCUUAUCUGGCGAAUGAAAAAUGGAAUGGAGACAGACGGACCAGAGCCUGGAAAUUUUGGCCAAACAAGAACUAAAUAAAUCAUCGGCGUUUCCUUCCUUAACGUUCGAUUCGAUAUUCCUGUCGUACUUUAAC